rnacentral:lncRNA from 1 species
CCAAAUUGAGUGAAAUACUAAAGAGAGAAUAGCCACCACAAUUGAGGACUUUUUUUUUGUAAUUUUGUAAUUGACAAUUUGUUUUGCUUUCAAAUUUUGUAACAAAAAGGCCUUUCAUUGGAAGUAAGUUGGGAGCCUCCAAUAGGUCACCCUACUUCCAUUUGUGUGUAAUAAUUUUAGGCAAUUUUCCCUUAGGAUAGUGAAUGUUUUGUU